rnacentral:lncRNA from 1 species
UGUAAGAGAAUGGAUCGGUAUUUUGAUUUCUAAUAUCUUAGUGUUGGUAUAUUCCUUUUAUUUUAUUUUAUUAGAGGGGUUUCUCUUGAUUGAAUACAAAAAAGAAGACCAUUCUCUUUGUGUUUCAUAGGUCUAGGUAAGGUAUAACGAGAAAAAGCCUAUUUGACAUUGUUAACAAUGAAACUUACUAAAGAGAUUCGUUUCUUAACAAACUUUGGCUUGUCCUCAAAUACAGCAGGUCAUUUCCUAGAUCUAUUUGAAUUAUUCUUUGAAGUUUUUAAUCGAUUUCGUGUCAUGAUUUUGACUUCGUAAAUUCAUUA